GGAUUGGUUGUGUCUAGGGGUGUCGACGCGCCUAACACGAGCUGACUCAUUAAAGUAUCGAAUCGAAAAAUUCAGCUCGUAUUCGACUCAUUCAUUAACGAGCUGAACACAAACUGGUUCACGAACAACAAGUUAAAAGAAUAAUAAACUAUAUAUAUAGAAAAUAAAAUUUAUGAAAUAUUACCCAUUAGAUUUUGAUCUAAUGAUUGAAACUUGUAUAUAAAUAGGCCUUUUUUUAUAAUUGAGUUGCGCUUUAUAUUUAGAUUGGAUUAAAAAUCAAAUAAUAAAAAAAUAUAUAUAUUAUAUUAUAUAAAUUAUAUAAAUAUAAAAUAUAUGUAU
rnacentral:lncRNA from 1 species